rnacentral:rRNA from 1 species
CAAUAGCGUAUAUUAAAGCUGUUGCGGUUAAAAAGCUCGUAGUUGGAUUUCUGUCAAGGACAACUGGUCCGCCCUCCGGGUGAGCACAUAGUUUGGUCUUGGCAUCUUGCUGGAAGCUGUUGCUGCACUUGGCUGUGUGGCGCAGCGUCCAGCACUUUCACUUUGAGGAAAUUGGAGUGUUUCAAGCAGGCACAUGCCUUUGGACACAGUAGCAUGGAAUAAUUAGAUUGGGCUUUUGCUCCAAUUUGUCGGUUCCUGGAGCUGAGGUGAGAAUUAAUGGGGAUUGUUGGGGGCAUCCGAAUUUAGCCGUCAGAGGUGAAAUUCUUGGAUCUGCUAAAGACGGACAACUGCGAAAGCGUUUGCCCAGGAUGUUUUCAUUGA